GCCUACAGCCAUACCACCCUGAAUGCACCCGAUCUUGUCUGAUCUUGGAAGCUAAGUAGGGUCGGGUCUGGUUAGUACUUGGAUGGGAGACUACCUGGGAACACCGGGGUUCUGUAGGCU
rnacentral:rRNA from 1 species